AGGAUUACGAAAUCACUGAAAUUCGUGUUACUUUUAUCGUCGCAGUUUCUGGCAAGCGAGCUGCAACAAAAUUGCUACGUUUACUUUCCUGCAUCAGGAUACUGAAACAUGAGUUGCAGCUCUUAAGUCGCAGUAGGUUGUCGCUUCCUCGAUGUUAGUGUCACAGUGGGGCCCACUAUAUGCUGAAAUGAAUCUGGAGACUCGGAAAUCGUAGUUCAAAAGGAGAGGAUCCUGUUAGGUGUUAUGAUAAGGAAAAAAUCAAGUUAUUGCACAAUAUUUGUGGCGAGAAGGACUUGCCGUUGGAAUCGAAAUGUUCUGGUAUUUUCUUCACGGCGGCGAUCAUCAGAUUUUAUAAUACUUUCAGGCUACAGAGCAUCGUAUUAAAUCCAUUCAUCCAAGCGAGGCUUUGGCGUAAUAAUUCCAAGCACUAAAAGCCUCACUCGGCACCUGCACAAUGCACUUUCCAAUUGCUAGCUGCCAACUGCACGGUAGCUAGUCUCCGACUGAAUCUCAUGGCCACGUUUUUACUCGCACCAACCGCAAUUUGCGCGAGCUAAAUAACUUCCGUUUUAGAGGGGAACCACUGCAUCUUUUACCAUAAAAUGAACCAAGAGCCCUAAGUGUGGAUCAGCAGUUACAAAGUAGUAAGUAAACAUGUUUAAGCAACAUUGCAUUUACCCGUAUUAACAAAUAAAUACAAAAUUAUUUAACCAAAA